rnacentral:rRNA from 1 species
AUUGAACGCUGGCGGCAGGCUUAACACAUGCAAGUCGAGCGGAGUGAUGGUGCUUGCACUAUCACUUAGCGGCGGACGGGUGAGUAAUGCUUAGGAAUCUGCCUAUUAGUGGGGGACAACAUCUCGAAAGGGAUGCUAAUACCGCAUACGUCCUACGGGAGAAAGCAGGGGAUCACUUGUGACCUUGCGCUAAUAGAUGAGCCUAAGUCGGAUUAGCUAGUUGGUGGGGUAAAGGCCUAACAAGGCGACGAUCUGUAGCGGGUCUGAGAGGAUGAUCCGCCACCCUGGGACUGAGACACGGCCCAGACUCCUACGGGAGGCAGCAGUGGGGAAUAUUGGACAAUGGGGGGAACCCUGAUCCAGCCAUGCCGCGUGUGUGAAGAAGGCCUUAUGGUUGUAAAGCACCUUAAGCGAGGAGGAGGCUCUUUUGGUUAAUACCCAAGAUGAGUGGACGUUACUCGCAGAAUAAGCACCGGCUAACUCUGUGCCAGCCGCCGCGGUAA